rnacentral:rRNA from 1 species
AUGGUCCUUAGAGAUAUUAGGGAUAUGUUGCAAUCCAUGGGAAAGGAUAUUAAAAACUAUGGACUUCCGGAUCUGGUAGAGACCAAUGAUUCUUAUGACGGUGAGUACAGAGAGGUGAUAGAAGAGAGGCAAAUCACCGCAGACAUAGAACAUCUAGAUCUAUUUAGCAGUUUGAACAAUGAGCAGUUGGCUUGUUUCAAUGACAUAAUGGAUCAUGUGAUGACAAAAAAAAGCCAGAUAUUCUUUGUUGAUGGUCCAGGAGGCACUAGGAAGACGUACCUGUACAAGGAAUUGCUUGCUAAGGUGCGUUCCAUGGGACAAAUGGCGAUUGCAACUGCUACAUCUGGUAUUGCAGCGUCGAUAAUGCCUGGAGGACGGACAUCACACUCUCGGUUCAAAAUACCAAUCAAGCUCACUGAUAAUAGUAUGUGCAGUUUCACAAAACAAAGUGGUAUAGCGGAGUUGCUUAGACAGGUGUCCUUGAUAAUUUGGGACGAAGUCGCUAUGACAAAACGUCAAGCAGUUGAGACGCUUGAUAGAUCACUACAGGAUAUAAUGGAAUGUUCUUUGCCGUUUGGAGGAAAGGUUGUCGUCUUUGGUGGUGAUUUCAGGCAGGUCCUGCCCGUUGUGACACGUGGGACAAGAGCGCAGAUCACGGAUGCUACACUUCUGAAAUACCUCCUAAGGAUAGGCAAUGGAACUGAAGAGACAAUUGGCGACGACUAUGUCCGUCUCCCUGACGACAUUGUCAUUGGCUAUACCGACGAUGAAAAAGCUAUUAACAUGCUCAUUGAAGAUGUCUUCCCAUCGUUGCAUGCCAAUGCUACAUCCAGAGAGUACAUGAGUGCACGUGCUAUUCUAUCGACCAAGAACGAUCAUGUCGAUGACCUAAAUGACAAGAUGAUCUCCAGGUUUCCAGGUGAAGAAAAGUUAUACCAUAGUUUUGACUCAAUCGAGGAUGGCCUACAGAAUAAUUACACAAUUGAUUUUUUGAACUCGAUCACACCAAAUGGCUUGCCCCCACAUGUUUUGAAAUUAAAGGUCAACUGCCCGGUCAUUCUGCUACGGAACCUCGACCCUCAUAAUGGUCUAUGCAAUGGAACACAGCUUAUGAUUAGAGCCUUUCAGGAUAAUGCAAUCGAUGCAGAGAUUGUUGGUGGUCAGCAUGCUGGAAAGAGGGUGUUUAUACCUAGGAUCCCUAUGUCGCCCUUGGAGGACAUCUCACUUCCUUUCAAACUUAAGAGAAAAUAGUUCCCCAUCCGUCUGAAUUUUGCGAUGACAAUUAACAAGGCACAGGGUCAGACCAUCCCAAAUGUUGGCAUUUACCUUCCCGAGCCAGUAUUCUCACAUGGUCAACUAUAUGUUGCAUUGUCAAGUCGAGAGAGACGACACGGAUUUUGGCCAAGCCAAACAAGGAUGUCGACAAAUCCAGGAAAAGCACCAAGAACAUUGUCUACAAAGAUGUUUUGGAGAGAUGAGGCAAGUGCAUUAUUCCAUUAUUUCUUUUCCCCUACUAUGUUCGCGUUGAAAACCAACUUAUGA